AUGAGUUAUACUACACCAUAACCCUAAUCUUGCCCCGUUGAUGCGAGCAGUUUCAUGGCUAUUGGUUGCAGUGGAAAACAUCCGGCUGCGUUUUAAUGGAGGUCGAAGAGUUUUGUUAGUUGACGUUCUCAUCUCAAUCUCUCUUGUGGGUGUUCUGAUUGCCGCCUAUUGCUUGUGAUGUUCUAUAGAUUCUUGAUGAUAAGUUCCAAACUGAAAGCCAAAAAGGCGAGUCCAGCUUACCGUCCUAAAGAAAGAGUCGACGCUCAUGAAGUCAUGAGUCUUAAUUUUUGAAAUGGUGAUGAUGCUAGUGACUGGAGGCUAAGAAAUGAGAAUCGAGAAAAAAAAUAUGUAUAGUCAUGUUUUUGGUACUCUGGCUUUAUAUGCUGGCAACUUGCAAGUACGGUCUAAUCUAUGUUUCUUGCAUGUAAUUCCUGCUGAAAGAUUAUCUUCUUCUUUUUUUGACAAAGAUGGAAGAUUAUCUUAUACCAACA